UUCCGGUUGAUCCUGCCGGACCCGACUGCUAUCAGAGUGGGACUAAGCCAUGCGAGUCAACGCAGCAAUGCGUGGCAUACGGCUCAGUAACACGUAGUCAACAUGCCCAGGGGACGUGGAUAACCUCGGGAAACUGAGGAUAAACCGCGAUAGGCCAAGGUUUCUGGAAUGGAUCAUGGCUGAAACCUAUAUGGCCCCUGGAUUGGACUGCGGCCGAUCAGGCUGUUGGUGAGGUAAUGGCCCACCAAACCUGUAACCGGUACGGGCUCUGAGAGGAGGAGCCCGGAGAUGGGCACUGAGACAAGGGCCCAGGCCCUAUGGGGCGCAGCAGGCGCGAAACCUCUGCAAUAGGCGAAAGCUUGACAGGGUUACUCUGAGUGAUGUCCGUUAAGGGCAUCUUUUGGCACCUCUAAAAAUGGUGCAGAAUAAGGGGUGGGCAAGUCUGGUGUCAGCCGCCGCGGUAAUACCAGCACCCCGAGUGGUCGGGACGAUUAUUGGGCCUAAAGCAUCCGUAGCCGGUUCUGCAAGUCUUCCGUUAAAUCCACCUGCUCAACAGAUGGGCUGCGGGGGAUACUACAGGGCUAGGAGGCGGGAGAGGCAAGCGGUACCCAGUGGGUAGGGGUAAAAUCCUCUGAUCCACUGAAGACCACCAGUGGCGAAGGCGGCUUGCCAGAACGCGCUCGACGGUGAGGGAUGAAAGCUGGGGGAGCAAACCGGAUUAGAUACCCGGGUAGUCCCAGCUGUAAACGAUGCAGACUCGGUGAUGGGUUGGCUUCGAGCCAACCCAGUGCCGCAGGGAAGCCGUUAAGUCUGCCGCCUGGGGAGUACGGUCGCAAGACUGAAACUUAAAGGAAUUGGCGGGGGAGCACCACAAGGGGUGAAGCCUGCGGUUCAAUUGGAGUCAACGCCGGG
rnacentral:rRNA from 1 species